CGCAGCCGCGGUAAUUCCAGUUCCAAUAGCGUAUAUUAAAGUUGUUGCAGUUAAAAAGCUCGUAGUUGAAUUUCGGGGUCAGCAGGUUGGUCGUGCCUAUGGUAUGAACUGGCUUCGCUGGUCUCUCCUUUCUGAAGAACUGUAAUGCCAUUAAUUUGGUGUUGCAGGGACACAGGACUGUUACUUUGAAAAAAUUAGAGUGUUUAAAGCAGGCUAACGCUUGAAUACAUUAGCAUGGAAUAAUGAAAUAGGACGUUCGAACCUAUUUUGUUGGUUUCUAGGAUUGACGUAAUGAUUAAUAGGGAUAGUUGGGGGCAUUAGUAUUCAAUUGUCAGAGGUGAAAUUCUUGGAUUUAUUGAAGACUGACUACUGCGAAAGCAUUUGCCAGGGAUGUUUUCAUUAAUCAAGAACGAAAGUUAGGGGAUCGAAGACGAUCAGAUACCGUCGUAGUCUUAACCAUAAACUAUGCCGACUAGGGAUCAGAUGAUGUUAAUUUUUUAAUGACUCA
rnacentral:rRNA from 1 species